rnacentral:rRNA from 1 species
CCACCUACGGGAGGCAGCAGUGGGGAAUAUUGCACAAUGGGCGCAAGCCUGAUGCAGCGACGCCGCGUGAGCGAAGAAGUAUUUCGGUAUGUAAAGCUCUAUCAGCAGGGAAGAAAAUGACGGUACCUGACUAAGAAGCUCCGGCUAAAUACGUGCCAGCAGCCGCGGUAAUACGUAUGGAGCAAGCGUUAUCCGGAUUUAUUGGGUGUAAAGGGUGCGUAGACGGGAAAUUAAGUUAGUUGUGAAAUCCCUCGGCUCAACUGAGGAACUGCAACUAAAACUGAUUUUCUUGAGUGCAGGAGAGG